AACCAGGACUAAACCAGGACUAAACCAGGUCUAAACCAGGUCUAAACCAGGUCUAAACCAGGUCUAAACCAGGUCUAAACCAGGACUAAACCAGGACUAAACCAGGUCUAAACCAGGACUAAAACAGGACUAAACCAGGACUAAAACAGGACUAAACCAGGACUAAACCAGGACUAAACCAGGUCUAAAACAGGACUAAACCAGGUCUAAACCAGGUCUAAAACAGGACUAAAACAGGACUAAACCAGGACUAAACCAGGACUAAACCAGGACUAAACCAGGACUAAACCAGGACUAAACCAGGUCUAAACCAGGACUAAACCAGGACUAAACCAGGACUAAACCAGGUCUAAAACAGGACUAAUCCAGGACUAAACCAGGUCUAAACCAGGACUAAACCAGGUCUAAACCAGGACUAAACCAAGUCUAAACCAGGACUAAAACAGGUCUAAAACAGGACUAAACUAGGACUAAACUAGGACUAAAACAGGACUAAACCAGGACUAAACCAGGACUAAAACAGGUCUAAAACAGGUCUAAAACAGGACUAAACCAGGUCUAAAACAGGACUAAACCAGGUCUAAACCAGGUCUAAACCAGGACUAAACCAGGACUAAACCAGGACUAAACCAGGACUAAACCAGGACUAAACCAGGGACUAAAC
ensembl:lncRNA